rnacentral:misc_RNA from 1 species
AUUUAGAGGAAGUAAAAGUCGUAACAAGGUUUCCGUAGGUGAACCUGCGGAAGGAUCAUUAACGAAUCCAAUCUUACUUGCCUUAGCGGUUUCAAUUGAUGCUGUUCUUCGGGGUCGGUCGAGGAGACGUAAAAACUCNCCNCGAUCGUUAAAUCGUCAGUGGGUACGGUGGACUUCGGUCUGCUAGGCGAGCCCCGAAUUAGUUUUUUACACACGUGUCUAACACCACAAAGACUUAAAAUAUAGAGUCCUCUGUGUCGGAUCUCGUCUCAGAGACGAGAGAUACUUAAAAAGAGAACAACUUUAAACGCGUGGAUAUCUUGGGUCUCGUGUAUAGGAGGAAGAACACAGCAAACUGCGAUAAAUAAAAUGAAAAGCAGCAAAAUAGUAGAAUCUUAUCGAAUAUCUGAAAACAAAAAGGCGCUCUUGGGCAUUCCCAGGAGCACGUCUGUCUGAGCGUCGUUUCUCACAUCAAACCUCCCCGGAGGUUUGGCCAUGAGGUGUCCCUUUGCUGCAAAGCGAACGGUCCCUUGAAGUAGAGCGAUCCCGAGUCGUGCGGAAGCCCUUCGUGGCCCGUGCUUCUCGGUGUGGUAGUAAUAUCUCACCGAGCAGCCGAGUUUCGCAGGUGUCCGAUGCCUUCUCAGUGGGACGACUGGAAAGGGAACGUUUCUCUCUCUCGAGAAGUGAUCCGUCGACC